GACGAACGCUGGCGGCGUGCCUAAUACAUGCAAGUAGAACGCACAGUUUAUACCGUAGCUUGCUACACCAUAGACUGUGAGCUGCGAACGGGUGAGUAACGCGUAGGUAACCUGCCUGGUAGCGGGGGAUAACUAUUGGAAACGAUAGCUAAUACCGCAUAAUAUUAAUUAUUGCAUGAUAAUUAAUUGAAAGGUGCAAUUGCACCACUACCAGAUGGACCUGCGUUGUAUUAGCUAGUAGGUGAGGUAACGGCUCACCUAGGCGACGAUACAUAGCCGACCUGAGAGGGUGAUCGGCCACACUGGGACUGAGACACGGCCCAGACUCCUACGGGAGGCAGCAGUAGGGAAUCUUCGGCAAUGGACGAAAGUCUGACCGAGCAACGCCGCGUGAGUGAAGAAGGGUUUCGGAUCGUAAAGCUCUGUUGUAAGAGAAGAACGGGUGUGAGAGUGGAAAGUUCACACUGUGACGGUAUCUUACCAGAAAGGGACGGCUAACUACGUG
rnacentral:rRNA from 1 species